UACGUAGGGUGCAAGCGUUAAUCGGAAUUACUGGGCGUAAAGCGUGCGCAGGCGGCUUUGCAAGACAGAUGUGAAAUCCCCGGGCUCAACCUGGGAACUGCAUUUGUGACUGCAAGGCUGGAGUGUGGCAGAGGGGGAUGGAAUUCCGCGUGUAGCAGUGAAAUGCGUAGAUAUGCGGAGGAACACCGAUGGCGAAGGCAAUCCCCUGGGCCUGCACUGACGCUCAUGCACGAAAGCGUGGGGAGCAAACAGG
rnacentral:rRNA from 1 species